UGGAUGUGUAGCUCAGCUGGUUAGAGCAUUACGUUGACAUCGUAAAGGUCACUGGUUCAAAUCCAGUCAUGUCUAU
rnacentral:tRNA from 1 species